CGGCGUGCUGAUAACCGGCGCAAACUUCCGUCGUCUGCUGUUGAGGGGCGAGCUGUGGAGGUGAACCUAUUGUGAUAAGAGUAGUUGUGAUAAAGUGAAGUGCAAACAUGACCGAUAUCAUGAUUGGAAAGUGGAAGAUGGAGAGCAGCGACAACUUCGACGAAUAUAUGAAGGCAUUGGGCGUGGGGUUCAUGAUGCGCAAGAUGGGCAACACCAUGGUGCCCACUGUGGAGAUCACGGAGGAGAACGGCGAGAUCGAGCUGAAGACCAUCACCACGUUCAAGACCACCAGCAUCAAGUUCAAGCUGGGCGAGCCGUUCGAGGAGGAAACAGCGGACGGCCGGAAGGUCACGGCGACGCUCACCAUGGAGGGCAACACGCUGGUGCACGACCAGAAGGGCAACAAGGAGAAGGAGGAGAAGGACUCGGUGAUCCGGCGCACCUUCGACGGAGACACCAUGACCCUGGUGAGUGGAAUGGGGCUGACCUGGGAGUGACCUGCUGAGUGACCUGAGAGUGACUUGAGGGCAGCCUGGGAGUGACCUGAGGGUGAUCUGGGGCUGACCUGAGGGUGGCAUGGGAGUGACCUGCUGAGUGACCUGAGGGUGAAAACGUUUUCGGAAGUUCGGUCUCAGUCUUUUAGUAUUCUACUUCUGUCUGGCUUCCGCAUUUCUCUUACGUUCACAAUAGUGGACGUAACGGACGUUCACGCUCACAAUAGCGGACGUUCACGCCUUCAAGACUCGAUGUUCAGCGUAACACGCAAGUCUACAUGGGUAAGCCAAAUCACUGCAGUAGGGGUAAGCCAAGCAGUACGUUCCACAGCUGCUCUAUCCGUGUGAAUCACAACUCCUUUGCUGGGACGUGGUGUCCUACAGGUGGUGUCGUGUUGGUGUCUGUGUAUCUCAGCGGGGGUGAGUCACGGCUCGGGUAGGCUCGACCCCACAGGUGCACCGCCCGACACGCCUGUCUGUGAGGAACACAUCUGUCGCGGAUGGUGUCUGACGAAGCCCGGUUACCGUUCGCCUAAUACGAACGGGGUACUGCGGAGCUGGGACAGACGCGGCGAUCGCUCUAAAAAGACAGGAGCGAGCGCUGAAAAAUAUAAUUGAGUUAAAGGGGUGGCAUUAUAUCACAACUGUGUCGCUUGUGAGUGCUGGCUUGGCUGGUUAAUCGUCAGCACGUGCUCUUUCAACAAAGGGUUGAUUUAAUCCUUAUUCGUUGUUUAGACUGAAUUGAUGGGUUGGUGAUUGCACACGAAAUAACGGCGAAUGGAUUAAAGUACGUUUCUAAUCCAGAUAUAUCUUGUUUUCCGUCACGGAGCGAGUGAAUCAAUUACGGGCGGUACCGCCUCUGAUGCAGGUGCGGCUGCUUUCAUCCUUUUCUUGAUAUGUUAUGUAUCUACUUCAUUGCCUACAUUUGUAUGUUUGCAAAUGUUUCUUAGAUAGUCAAAAGUCCCUAACAACAAGCACACUCAUGUUGACACUGUAAAUGUGUAUGUCGAACGUUGUUUGGUAAUCGCCAUAGUUAUGUACCGUUAGCUUAUUGCAAGCAAAGGUAUGCAUUGAUAGAUAUUAUUUUAGGCAUACAGGAAAUGUACACUGUUCCUUGUAAUUUGAAAUCAAUGAUGCACAUAUACAUUGAAUAUAGCUACCUGCAUACGUCGGUAUGUGAUAUGCGCCAACUUUCAAUGGCUUGUCGUCAAUGGUCAUUCCGGGCAGACUCGUCAGUGAUCAUCCAUAUACAAAACCGUUCAAACCUGAAACCUUGACGUUUGACACCUGAUGUUCAAAGCCGUAACACUAUUUUAAACACUAGUUCAUUGAGUUGCUUGUUGUUUCGGCUGCUGUUAAAAUGUGCUCGAUUUGUGUUUCAUAGCACGCAAUAACAACUCCCCUUAUCAUUUUUGUCCUUUUCCGGUUGCGGACGCGCAUUUGUUUCCAUGUGGGCGAAAUUGCUUCCUUCGUGGGUAAACUUCAGACUGUUGCUUGUUGCUCUUUUGUUAUUUUUGCCUAAAGGUUUUCCUCUGAUGAGCAGUCUUUGUAAUUCUUGUGACAUGAAAUGCAUCAGAGAAAGAGUAGGUAUAAGCUGCAUUUGCAUUUCAAAGGGACGACAUUCUCUAUUAUCCUUACCAAAUCUUCUCACCCAAAGUUGCCAGCUCAGUGGACGCCGUGAACAAUGGACUGCGAUCUCGCGACUUUGGAGUGUCUUAGUCGUCGCGCCACGUGGCCUGUCCGCACCCUAUUCAUAGAAUCAAACCCGAUCUUUCCACUGGACCAUGAUACUUGACCUUUGGCGGUCUAGUCGGGCGUCUCAUUCCGUGCCUCUUGAGCGCCACGCCACCCCUCCCCUGCACUUCAGCGCGAGCUGUUGAGUGCCGGCAACCCCUCACUGCUGCCGUGAACCGGCGUCUGCCGCGUGGCAGCCCACGUGAUCUCCUCCCCUCCCCACUUGUCUGGCCACCGCCCGCCCGCCCGCCCGCCCGCCGCCGCCGCCGCCGCCGCCGCCGCCGCGCCCGCUCCCUCGGCGGGGCCGUGGCGCGGAGGUAGCGAUGACAGCCACUGCCCGUCACCGGAGCCAAAUCAUUCGGGCGGCUGUGGCAACGGUCCUGCGGCGGCUGGCGGUACGGUGGGUCCUCGGACCUCGGACGGCUGGGGACAGGUGGUCAGCGAGAAAGGAUCCUAUCCUAUGCGGCUGUACCACGAACAAACGCCCCCACCUCCCCCUCGCCGGGCGGUUCUUUCAUCCAUGACGGUUGCCUGUGUGCAUCCGGGCGGACGCAGCCAACAAUUACGGUCGUUUGACUGCUCCGGCUGGCGUGGUCGGCAGUCUGGGAGCGGACGGCGGGACGGCCGACGGCGGUCGCGCGUCCCUCGUGCCAUCCUCACACCACCGUGACGUCACUUCCUGUCUGCUGCGGCGCUGAUCGUGAUCGGGGCGGGACUGCUCCCGGGCGGGGAGGGAGGGGUUAUUGGUCAUGAUCGUGAUGGGAGAGGAGGGGAAAGGGUUGGCGAGUUACUGGCUGGGUGGUUGCGAGCGGACGAAGAUUAUUGGGUAGAUAGGACGGAAUGGUGUCGUGAAUUGAUGCUGGUUUGUCUUGGGAUCGUUAUGUGAUCCAAGUCCCCGCCCAUCCCCACCGGCCACCUCUCAUGGCCGGAUGUGACUGUGAAGGUGUCAGCUCCUAGACAGCCUCGUGAUGUGUUAUGUGACACUCUGUCUAUGAACUUUGCCUGCUAGCUUCAGAGUCUGACCGAUACAUGCUAGCCGUACAUCCGGAGCCACGAACUCAACAUGCUCGUCAUGCCACCCAAUUCCGCCGUCUGCAGGCCGAUAAAGUGAUUGAAUUUUCCGUUGUUCACAGUCGUGCUCGGUCGGCGAGGGUGAGAGCGAGGUGAAGGCUACCCGGGUCUACAAGCGGCAGCCGUGAGCACGCCGCCCUGCCCUGCCCGGCCGGCGCUCCCGGCACUCCGGAGCUAGUCAGGCUCGACCGCCGCCGUUGCCGCGCGAGUUCCUCUGUGUAUCGUUACCUGGCGCGCCGCUCGGCGUCCUAUACGCGCAGUCCGAGUUCAGUUCAGAAAUGGGAGCCACCCACCGCUGCUUAUCGGCUCGCUGAUGGGAUCCAAACAGUCUUCAGUCAGUUCAGACUGAGCGACACACGCAGUCAGCGUGACGCGACGGAAUCUCGGCCUAACGUGACGGAAUCUCGUGGUCCGUGACGCGUCGUGCUCGGCGCGGCGUGACGCGGAAUCUCAACUCGCUGUGACGCGUACCGUGAUUUGUACUGGUCCUGCGUGACGCCGCGUGACAUGGGCUCGCUCCAAUACACUUGUCUAUGUAUG